CGGUGGCUUUGGGCACAGAGCAGUGCAUCCUAGCAGCAAAGCCCCUCCAGCCGCUCGCUUGAAGCCCGGUCUGGGCAGGCGAACCAGGAGGUUCGGGGGAGAAAAAAAGAUGUCAAAUCUCGGCCACCCAAAGACCCCAGCCUCUGCUCCUUCCACCCUCCAUAGUGAUGCCCAUCCUCGCUUUAUGCCAAUUGAUCCAUGCCUCUGCCGAGAAGAGGAAAGAGGUUCGGGCAGAGCGUUAAUAUUAAUCAACACCGGCCUCUCUCCAAAGGACAGCGGGGAAGCAGAAACAAAAGAAGGAGGUUUGCUGAACAGCCCAGAAUAUUACAGCGGGAGAAGCAAUCAGUUAAUGGGACUGGAUGCCAAUGAGCCUCCCCAAUAUUCUGAUUUCCCGGGAGAAACUCGGGUGUGGGGACGAGACAGGCUGCUUGCUUGUGCGCGGUUCUUGCCGGACCGGUUCUGUUCGUUCUGAGAAGAGACUCGUCCAAGUGACCAUCCGGUCCACGUGGUCCCCGAAGGUCCAGGAGGAAGCUGGUCUGCCGGUGACUAUGUCAAUCAUGGCUCCACGUGCCUGCCACCACGCGCCUCGCUUAGAGACCCAUAUGGACCUUCCCGUCAGGCUGGGACAGACUUAAAUUAUGACACUUUUCAUCUUGAUUGACAAUAACCUUCCCCUGGAAGUUGGGGAACAGCCCAGCUACAAUUACGUCUUGUACGAUAAAAUGAAGGAAAUAAUUUUAUGAUUCAUUAUUUUAUGAAUAUGGUCUCUGGCAGUUGGCUAAGGAGAUAAUCUUCAUUCCCACUGCUCCUGCGUUUCAUUAUUUUAUUAAGAGUUAACUCUCGAUUAUCCACAUGUGAGCCAAAGAGACGAUUUUAUUCCCACAGCUGUUAGGUCUUAUUAUUUUAUUAUUAUUGGUUUGGGUUUGUCCCCGGGCUCCGUUCCGGGUGUGAAAAAGAAUCACGGUUUCUCAUUCUGAAUUACGUGCAGUAAACGUUUAUAAUCUCACUGCCACCUCUCCCUUCUUCUGGGGUGGGUGGCUAUUUUCUUUUUUUUAUUGCGGUAAAAGACACAUUAUGCAAAAUUACCAUGUUGACGAUUUAAAAUACCGCGCAGUGGUAUUUAGUACGCUCAUGAUGUUGUUGCACAACCAUCACCCCUACCUAGGUCCCAAACGUUUUCACCCCCCGAAGAGGAAACCCCGCGAUAAAGGGGUCCCCCUCCAGCCCCGGCAACCAGGAAUCUGCCUUCCGUCUCCAUAGGUUUCUUCCACUCUGGACACUUCAUGCAAAUGGAAUCGUACAACAGGGGCCAUUACUGCCCAUAAUGGAGCCAAGGUCCAUCCAUGUGGCCGCAGGGACCAGAACUCCGCUCUUCUCCGUGGCCGAAACAACACUCCAGUGUGUGGACUGGCCGCACUCUGCUUAUCCAUUCUUUCGUGGAUGGACCUUUGGGGCGUUUCCAUCUUUGGCCGUUGUCCAUGGUGCUGCUGUGGACACCCGUUUUCAAUUCUUUUCAACUGGUUUCGCCAGCGGCCGUACCCCCUUUUCAGUCCCCGGCAUCAGGUGUGAGGGCUCCAGUUCUCCAGGAUGUUUCUUCCAGCCGGCCUUCGUUGUGUCAAUGGAAAAAACCAGUAUUUUCAAGGUAGAGGCAUCGGCCAGAAGUGCUGAGGACUGAUGCCCCGGAAGCAGCCCUCCACCCAGGGU